CUCAUCUUCCUCGGGGCAUCGAGGAGGCGACCACGCGGUUCGCUGCCGCAUGCUCGUUCCCCGCACCGCCUCCCUACCCCUCGCGAAGUCCUCCAAUCCCCACCACCCGCGACUCCACCUCGUACCGCGCAUCCGUCGCUGGAUCCGAGCCCCUCCGCUGCCGCGCGACACAAUGGCAUUCUCCUUUGCAUCUACGGUGUCGAAUCCAUUCUAGACGCCGGCUGCAUCGAAUCAUUCCGGAGACCGACGGGGUCGAACCCCUUCCAGACGCUGGUGGCUCCGAACCCCUACCAGAAGCUGGCCCCGGCCAUGAUGCAGGCGCUGUCGUUGGUCGUCCUCGUCCUUGCCCUUCAGGUUCAGGUUCCAGCAGCCGCAAUAGCAGGCGACGCCUGCGGCGCAGCCCUUUCCCCUGUUGCUUGCUCACAUUGGUGUACGCUAUAUUCCGGUCUAACUCGUUGCUCAUUCCACUUCUGGGUUGUCAAGAAUUCGAGUGCAGAGGCUGGGUUAGUUUUUUUGGCUGCAAAUUUCUUCAUAAACCUCAUGGUUGUGCUAUUCUCUCUCGUGCAAGUGACUCUGAGAUUUGAUUCGCAUCUUCUUGCUUUUCUGUGCAUUCUUUGUAAGAUUUGACCGACUUUAGUUUUAUUUGUGUAGCUUCUUCGAUUCGUUUGUUGUUUUGAUGAUGGCUCCUGCGAGUUCAAUUGGAUUCUACUCGAGCCAUGGGUGAGAGUAGUAGUCUCCCAAGUGACGGAUGCUUGGAGUUCUCGUUCUGUCCCAAGUGGCACAUGAGAACUUCCAUGAUGAGGGGACUAUUAUUGUUACAUCAUAAUAUCUUUGGAUUAAGAGGACUACUAUAUGUUACAUCUUCUUGUCACUACACUAAUAGUGUUCUUUUCAUUAAUACUGAAAAUUUCGUUGCAUUCAGCUACAAUUCGAACGGGACUACUCCGCCGCGGUUCUAUAAUUCAGAUUUAAAGUUUGUAAACUUUGAAUUAAGAUUUCAAGUUACGUCUCCUUCUCAUGUUUGUAAACUUUGAAAUUAAGAUUUGAAGUUACGUCUUCUUGUCAAGUC